GAUGAACGCUGGCGGCGUGCCUAAUACAUGCAAGUCGAGCGAACAGAUAAGGAGCUUGCUCCUUUGACGUUCGCGGCGGACGGGUGAGUAACACGUGGGUAACCUACCUAUAAGACUGGAAUAACUCCGGGAAACCGGGGCUAAUGCCGGCUAACAUUUAGAACCGCAUGGUUCUAAAGUGACAGAUGGUUUUGCUAUCACUUAUAGAUGGACCCGCGCCGUAUUAGCUAGUUGGUAAGGUAACGGCUUACCAAGGCAACGAUACGUAGCCGACCUGAGAGGGUGAUCGGCCACACUGGAACUGAGACACGGUCCAGACUCCUACGGGAGGCAGCAGUAGGGAAUCUUCCGCAAUGGGCGAAAGCCUGACGGAGCAACGCCGCGUGAGUGAUGAAGGUCUUCGGAUCGUAAAACUCUGUUAUUAGGGAAGAACAAAUGUGUAAGUAACUAUGCACGUCUUGACGGUACCUAAUCAGAAAGCCACGGCUAACUACGUG
rnacentral:rRNA from 1 species